rnacentral:rRNA from 1 species
AUACGGAGGGGGCAAGCGUUGUUCGGAGUUACUGGGCGUAAAGCGCGCGUAGGCGGUUUGCUCAGUCGGAUGUGAAAGCCCAGGGCUCAACCUUGGAACUGCAUACGAUACUGGCAAACUAGAGUGUGAGAGAGGAUAGUGGAAUUUCCGGUGUAGCGGUGAAAUGCGUAGAUAUCGGAAGGAACAUCAGUGGCGAAGGCGACUGUCUGGCUCAACACUGACGCUGAGGUGCGAAAGCGUGGGUAGCAAACAGGAUUAGAAACCCUAGUAGUCC